CGCAAUAAACAGCUAGCUAUAAUCAUAGAUAGUAACUUUACUAUCUAUGCUAUAAUUAUGAUCUGAACCAGGAACGUAACUAUCCUCCACUCUUUUUAUCUAUACACGCAAUGAGAGUAUCUUGAAGAAUGGAAAAGAAAAAGAAAGAUGAGGAGGACUAUGGUGACUAUGUAACGAGGUGUAUAUGUGAGCUGGAGCAUGACGAUGGCUACAUGAUAGCGUGUGAUGAGUGCGGUGUGUGGCAGCAUAUAGAGUGCAUGCAGGUUGACCCCAAGCACCUCCCUGACAACUACCUCUGUGAGCGAUGUGAGCCGAGGAGUAUUGAUCGGCGCAGGGCUCGACAGAUACAGCUCAAGAAACGUGGUGCUCUCUCUGAGAUGGAGAACUCAAGAAGGAGGCGUGACAUUGAGGGACGAUCCUCCUCCAGCUCUUUGUUGUCUCCAAUACCACUCAGCAGCAGAAAAAAACGAAAGAAGGGAAAAAUCCCUGAGCCUGUCAAGAUGGACUCAUUGAAGCGCACACGUAAGGACACGCCCUCCACUCCCGCUACCACCAAGAAGCCAAAGAAGCGUAUCGGCAGUAAGCCUCAGCCACGGUCUCGUCUCAACAGCUCUACUGGUAGUAUACAAAGCCUCCUCAAUGCUGCUACACUGUUGGAGCAGGGUGAUGGGAGAGAGGGAAAACCAUCGGGACUCUGGAACACCAACUAUAGCCCAUGGAGUGAUGAGUAUGAGACCCUGGCUGAGAACACAGUGAGUGAUAGUCUGGGGAGACUGCUGUCUAGUGGAGACCAACUCUCUCAGCUCAAGUCAGAGGCUGUUGUCUACAGCAGCGUACAGUAUCAGGAAGUGUGUAGGAGUGUGGACGCUGAGUCAGCAUUUUCCCUGGUGGAGGUGGCCAGACGGAGGAAAGGUGUCGUUGCUGACGUCAGCAUUCCUGAGGACGAGUUGGUCACAGAGUACAAGGGGUUAGUGACACUCAAGGCAGAUGUGCUGUCAGAGCUGUCAGUCAAGUCCUUGUGGAGGGAAAGUCCCUGUCCUUUUGUAUACCAGUACGACAAGAUGGCUGACCUUGAGGUGGUACUAGAUGCUCGGGAGGGAGGCAGCAUUGCUCGUUUUAUACGCCGAUCUUGUUCCCCUAACACAGAGGUUCGGCACUUCUUUGUUGAGGACAGCCUCCACUUUGGUGUGUACGCCCUCGGUGACCUUUCACCCCAGGAGGAGAUCACGCUAGCCUUCGACUUCCAACACGACAAAUGUGAUUACCCUAUAGAGUGUGCAUGUGGACAGGUCAAGAGCGCUUGUCUGAUCGCCACGACAACACCGUUAAAAGGAGUGGGCGUACCCAAGUCAUGUGACAUAGAGGAACCAAGUUCUGUACGUGUUCGGCAGCGUUCCUACUCCCACCUGUUGGACGAGGACAGUAACUCUAGUUGGACUAGUACGGCUUCUCAAAGUCGUAAGAGGCGCUCCACACGAGUCACGCCCCUUUCUCCCAAGGCCACACCCCUUUCCCCAAAGCUGAGCAGACCGGCGAGUCGUGAGGAGAGUAGUGACUCAGAGGGUGAGGGAGGAAAAAGACGAAAGUCGCUGACUCGCGAGGAACGCAAAACAGAACAAGUUUGGAAAAUGUUUGAGAAGAUGGAGGCCAGCGCUCAACGUAAGAGACAGCACUUGGUGUCUGAGGGAAGUGCUGACUCAGCGGAGCUUCUCACGUCUCCACUCCUCACACGUCACGCCCACACAGGACGUGAUCGCCGCACACCCAGCACAGGGUCACGAAGGGCACACCUACUCACCUCGUCAGGAAAACUACGCUUAUCAAGUGUGUCGUCAUCUGGUGAUCCAUUGUCCCCGACCUUUGACCUCCCCGAGCUGUUCUCCCCACCCACUACCCCUGCACACACCGCCCACAUGUUCACGCCCCCACUCCCCACACAUUACACACCCUCUGUGAACGUCACUCCAUACCUUAAUCCAAAGUAUCUACUUCAAGAUCUCGUACUGCCAUGGAAAAAAGCAUUCCUGCGUAAGUGGGAGUGUGAAAAGUUGGGGGAGGGGGAAUUCCCUGAUCGUUACUCGUACUGGGCGGGAUCUGACACGCCCACUCAUUAUGGUGACAUAAUGAGGGAGAGAGUGAGAGGAUCUCUAAAACACCGAUGGCUGAUGCAGUACAGUGAAGGCCCUGACAAGGAGAACAUGAUGAUACCAUUACUCUCAUUACCAGGUAAGAAACAGUUUCUACGGCGAUGGGAAGAGGAGACCGUUCCCAUGGCAACCAGUAUUGCGGACAACCUGGACACACAGCAAGACGACAGUAUGGAGGGUGUGGCCAGUGGGCGUGGCUCUCCAUUAUUUGAUGAGUUCUCUGAUGGGGAGGAAUUUGAAUUACCAACAGGAGAACGAAGGAGACGAACCAGCCACACCAGGGUCAAAGACAUGGAACUCAAGGAACGAUCGAUUUCCCCGCCCACACCCUCACACAGUCCUCACACUCCGCCCACUCACGAAUCACCACCCACACAGAGCCCACUAGAAGAAAUGGAGGCAAUAGACGACGAAGAGACAACCUCUCCACUACUUCCACAAGAUCACGUUUCACUUUGCAGCGAUAUUUCAGAAGAUUCGAUUUCUCAAACAGGCCCCAAAACGCCACAAGAAACCACACCCACUUCACCUAUGUCACCUGUGGGACCGCUGACUCCGCCCACUUUACAACAGUCGACCCCUGACCUUUUAUCACCAGCCAUUCAACAUGUGAAUAUCAGCGAUAUAUCUAGUGAUAUGGAUGGUUCAAUAGGUCAAAGUGCAGAGUUUGAGGUCACCAAGUCACGUCCACAGACCCCACCCCCUCACACAAGCACAGAGGCACAGCCUGAGAGACAGACGUCAGAGAGCUCUGAUGUUGAGUGGGCGAGAGGGGAAGUGGAGGGGGCGAAGGAGACGUUGGCACACACUCCAAUCAAAAGAAAGAUCAACUUGUCUGAGUAUCGCAAUCGAAUCAGAAAGCCGGCAGAUAAGAAGUCGUCACUUGAGGCCACGCCCACACCACCCUCACACAUCACACCCUCCACUCACUACCCAACACAACCUGUCGCCAUGGUGACAGCGCUACCACAUGGCGUCGCUAUGGAUACAGGGAUGAAUCUGUCACCAAUUGCCAUGACAACUUGUGUACCAAUGACAACUAUGGCUCCCGGUAUCGCCAUGCCAACAGUGAGUGGUCUGCCACAGUUUGAGCCAGUGAGUCCUGAUGAUAGUGACCACACCCCUCCACUAGGAACUAUGGAAGGUCCUGGUAGUGGUGGUGGUCAGCCCUCACAGAUGAUGAUGGUUGGACCACUGAUGGGUGGUCACCUGAUGCCCCCCAUCACCACACAACCAACCAGUCUAGUGGAGGUGGGUGGUCCACUGCUCAUGUCAGGUUAUAAUCAACAACCUCUUCACGCUCAGCCUCAAGUAGUGUGGCCAGUGGAGGCUUGCAACGACCCUCGUAGAGGUACAGUGUGUAGUGUGUGAUGUGUGUGAUGUGUGUGGCCAGUGGAGGGAGGCUUGCAACGACCCUCGUAGAGGUACAGUGUGUAGUGUGUGAUGUGUGUGUGUGUGUGGCCAGUGGAGGGAGGCUUGCAACGACCCUCGUAGAGUGUCCCUUGGAGAGCGUGGUUUUGUGGAGCCCUACCCACCCUCACAUAUGACACACCCUCACUAUGGGAUGGGGGGAAUGGGCUUCCCUCGCCCACCCCACCCCCCUCACGGACAGUACAUGCCACGCCCCCCCAGACCAC